AUUGAACGCUGGCGGCAUGCUUUACACAUGCAAGUCGAACGGUAACAGGGAGCUUGCUCCGCUGACGAGUGGCGAACGGGUGAGUAAUGCGUCGGAACGUGCCGAGUAGUGGGGGAUAACGCAUCGAAAGGUGUGCUAAUACCGCAUACGUACUGAGGUAGAAAGUGGGGGACCUUCGGGCCUCACGCUAUUCGAGCGGCCGACGUCUGAUUAGCUAGUUGGUGAGGUAAAGGCUCACCAAGGCGACGAUCAGUAGCGGGUCUGAGAGGAUGAUCCGCCACACGGGGACUGAGACACGGCCCAGACUCCUACGGGAGGCAGCAGUGGGGAAUUUUGGACAAUGGGCGCAAGCCUGAUCCAGCCAUGCCGCGUGUCUGAAGAAGGCCUUCGGGUUGUAAAGGACUUUUGUCCGGGAGCAAAUGCUGGUGGCUAACAUCCACCGGAGCUGAGAGUACCGGAAGAAUAAGCACCGGCUAACUACGUGCCAGCAGCCGCCGUAACAC
rnacentral:rRNA from 1 species